UAUACAUAUGAACAUUCUCUUUAUUUUUUUUCAGAGCUCGUAAAAUACAGUCAAACGAUUUUUCCUAGUCAGGCUGCUCAGUUAAAAACCCCAAAAAUUAAGACUGAGUGCUCUUGGUCUUGGGUUUUUGGUUGACCGGAACAGUCUUCCCUUACUGACCGCUCAAUACGAGCAAUACGUUCGUCGCACACACAUAUAUUGAUACCCUACAAGCAUUUUUUUUUAUCGCGGAAGACACUUCUAAGUCACUUCUAGAAGAUGAAAACUAUCGUCCGCGAUAUCGCGUUCGGAUCGCGAAAGUCACUCCCGUCGGGAAGAAAUGUGCCACUUCGGCGGCACUUCUUGGAGUCAAAAAUUAUAGGGCACUUUUUUGUGCGUAAUAUGCAUUAAAAGCCGAUGGUUAACUUGGGCAAGCCAAAGUUUGUAUAGCCUUGCAUUUAUAGAUAUAGUAAUAUAGUGUAAUAGUUAGUAACACCAUGUUUAAUUUUUAAGGAUUGUUGCAAUGAAUUGUUUUUUUUUUAGUAAUUUUUAUAGCCUUGCAGAGGGUAUAAUAAUUUCAGUCAGCAGUUUGCAACGCAGUGAAGGAGACGUUUCCGAUCCCAUAAAGUAUAUAUAUUCUUGAUCAACAAGGCGAGUCGAUCUAGCCAUGUCCGUCUAUUUCUACGCAAACUAGUCUUUCAGUUUUAAAGCUAUCGGGCUGAAACUUUUCCAAAAGUCUUCUUUCCAUUGCAGGUAGUAUAUAAGUCGCCCUUGCCGUUAUAAAAAAUAAUCAAUAAUUUUAUUAAAUUGAAUUCGAAAUUUUUAAAAAUAUAUAAAUAUUUAUAUUCCCAAUAGUAUAAGAUAAUAUGUCAAAAAGCCCCAAAGCUAUAAUUUGUUUCAUAUUAUUUUUCCACCAAUUUUCCGAUCGUUCCUAUGAAAGCUAUAUGAUAUAGUCGUCCGAUUUUGAUAAAUUUUAAUUCGAAAUUCAUAAAUAAUUAAAAAGUGUUAUUUCCAAGCUUAGAAGUUUAAAGAACACCAAAGAUAUAAUUUUUUAAUUUUUACUCCGAUAUUUCUAAUGGGAGCUAUAAGAUAUAGUUGUCCGAUCCGGCUGGUUCCGACUUAUAUAAUACCUUCAGCCCGAUAGCUUUAAAGCUAAAAGAAACGGACGGACAGAAGUACAGACGGACAGACAGACAGACGGACAUGGCUAGAUCGUCUAGUGAUGCUGAUCAAGAAUAUAUGUACUUUAUGGGGUCGGAAACGUCUCUUUCACUGCGUUGCAAACUUCUGACUGAAAUCAUUAUACCCUCUGCAAGGGUAUAAAAAACAGAGACGGGUAGAGUUUUUUUCUUGUAAUUUAAAAAAUUCUUGAUCAAAAUAGGAUGGAUAAUAAUGGGUGCAAAUUUUAUCAAAAAAUUAAUUUGUAAUACUCAGUUUUUCUCAGUGCUCGCAGGCUAACGGGUUAGGUUAGGUCAUGGUUUAUAAAUUCUAGCCUACUUUGGGCGAAGCCGCAUCGCGGCCUUCGAGAAAUUUCUCAUUGCGCGGGACUCUCGCUGGCCAAAAUGCGGUUCACUCCACUCACUCACCCGUCUCGCUCUCAUGCACACACACACUCGUGACUCCGGGUGCUCCGCCGCUGGUCCUGGGCCGGCACACUCUCCUCGAGGUCGUCUUGGUAAACUCUUUCCUGGGUCACUUGGCACCAGUCACUCGACUGCACCACGUUUCGCACUCCGAAGGCAAAAGACUCCUGUUGUCCACAUGAAUUUGAUCUGCUCGCACUUCUGAUCCCGUCCGCCGCCUUUGCAAGAGUCCCCUGCUCGCACUUCUGGUCCGGUGCACCGCGUUUGCAAGAGUAACCAGCUCGCACUUCUGGUCCGGUGCGCCUUGUUUUCCAAAGUGACCUGCUCGCACAUCUCGUCCGGUGCGCCGCGUUUUCCAAAGUGACAGAGUCAAGCUUCGCCGCAGCGUUUUGUUCAAGUUUUCGGCUGCCCUACUCGGCUACUCCUUUUCUCUGGCUCUUCCCUUGGCGCGUGCCAAUUUUCGGGGGUUGUUUUCCUACUCGAUCGCAUGUCCUCUCUCGCUUGCUCCUGUGCGGCGCUGCUCACGCGAGCACUUUUCGUGGUGAAUAUUUCGUUGCUCUCCCGGUGUGUGUGGCUGCUGCUGAUGUGAGAAGGGAGGGGAAAAGAUAAACAGAACCUAUCGCUUAGGCUGAGCUAAAAUAAUUAUUGUGUACCAAUAUAACUACAAAUCUUAUAAUUAUUGGCUAAGCUUAUAUAUUCAGUGCACUGUACAAAGUUUUUACAAAGUUAUUCGGGAGGGUUUUGUUUUGUUGUUAGCUGCUGGCUGUCGUAGCUUCUGGCUGCUGUUGUUGGCGACGCCUUUGGGCGUUGCGGCUGGCGAUGUUGUAGCUGCUGGCUGCUGUUGUUGUUGGCGCUGGUUGGCGAUGUUGUUUGCGCAAACUGGCGUUGUUGUUGGCGCUGGCGGCCGAUGUUGUUGGCGCUAACUGGCGUUGUUGUUGGCGCUACUUAUGAGGGGUCAAACGACAAUACAACAUUUCCAUUUAUAAGUAUUAGAAACCCUGAUCAGCGGGUGUGGCUUAGAAAACGUGCACAGUUAAAUGAGUUUGGGUUGAGUUAUAUAAGAAUUUGUUGUAAGUUGACUAAUUUGUAAACUGAUAAACCCAGAAAUUCUUAAUUCCACCAUUUUUGAAGUACCUACCCGACGCACAAUGGAUCCAAUGAGAUAUCUAGCGGAAUAAAAGUCGAUUUUUAACUUUUGAAAAAUACGUUGAGUUUCGAUUUUAUUUGAUUAAUUAUAUUCUGCAAAGCUCAAAAAAGCUUUUUAAUGAGCUUUUCAGUGCAUCCCUGAUCGGCUGCGAGCUUUGAAACUUAACCUAUUUGCGGCACGUGUCUACACAAAUAUUUGAGGUUAUUUGUGAUUCGUUUUAAAUUAUCAAAACAAGUGAUAUUUUUGAGUAUUUUGAUAGAAAAAUCUUUUGUUUCCCUUAAAAUAAGGUGGCUUGGCGAAAAUGUCGCAUCAAGAAGAUUGUUGGUGCUAAAUGAAUAUGUAUUUGGCACAAUUUUGAAGAAUAUAAACAUAUCUGACAACGAUAUCAAAGAAAUUAAUAAAAAAUUGGCUAAUUCAUGGUGCAGACAUCAUAAAGCAUGUGGGUCUUCCUAUUGGCAUGAUGUCUGAAGAAGCCCUGAAAGCCAGGAAUAAGGAUUUCCGGAAUAUAAGGGAGAAUCAUUCUCGAAAGAAUAAUAGAUCUAAUACAAUGGAAGAUGUUAUGCACGCAUUACUCCACUAAUAACAUCAUUGUCUAAAAUGUCAACAAAUUCGGUUAAAUCUAUUAAAUUUGAUAAAGUGGUUGCUGGUCUUCUAAUAAAUUUCCCACAUUUAAAUAAUGAUUCUGAAUCUUCAGAUUCCGAAUAAUAGUAGCGAAUAAUAUAUGGAAAAUAAACUCAUUAGUUAAAAUGUAAAUUAAAAAAUAAAACACUUAAAAAUUAAAAAAAAAAAGAGAA